rnacentral:rRNA from 1 species
UGGGGAAUAUUGGACAAUGGGCGCAAGCCUGAUCCAGCCAUGCCGCGUGAGUGAUGAAGGCCUUCGGGUUGUAAAGCUCUUUUGGCGGGGACGAUGAUGACGGUACCCGCAGAAUAAGCCCCGGCAAACUUCGUGCCAGCAGCCGCGGUAAGACGAAGGGGGCAAGCGUUGUUCGGAAUUACUGGGCGUAAAGGGCGCGUAGGCGGUUCUUUAAGUCAGGCGUGAAAGCCCUGGGCUCAACCUGGGAGUGGCGCUUGAUACUGGAGGACUAGAGAGUGGGAGAGGUUGGUGGAAUUCCCAGUGUAGAGGUGAAAUUCGUAGAUAUUGGGAAGAACACCGGUGGCGAAGGCGGCCAACUGGACCAUUUCUGACGCUGAGGCGCGAAAGCGUGGGGAGCAAACAG